rnacentral:tRNA from 1 species
GGGGUGUUAGCUCAGCGGUAGAGCUAUUGACUGCAGAUUAAUAGGUCUUCGGUUCAAAUCCGGAACGCCCCU